UCGCAUCACAUUGAAACACCGGUACAAUCACCGAAGUUAAGCAACGUCGAGCUUGGUCAGUACCUAGAUGAGUGACCGCUUAGGAAUACCUGGUGCUGUAAG